AGUGUGAUUGCUGGGUCAUUCUUUAAGUGUAUAUUUAGUUUUAAGAAAAUUCCAAGCUGUUUUCCAGAGUGGUUGUAUCAUUUUACAUUCUCACCAGCAAU
rnacentral:pre_miRNA from 1 species